rnacentral:rRNA from 1 species
UACGGGGGGUGCGAGCGUUGUCCGGAAUCACUGGGCGUAAAGGGCGCGUAGGUGGUUUGAUAAGGGUGUGGUGAAAGCCCGGGGCUCAACCCCGGGUCUGCCGUGCCGACUGUCAAACUCGAGGGCUGUAGAGGCAGACGGAAUUCCGGGUGUAGCGGUGGAAUGCGUAGAGAUCCGGAGGAAGACCGGUGGCGAAGGCGGUCUGCUGGGCAGUUUCUGACACUGAGGCGCGACAGCGUGGGGAGCAACAG